rnacentral:rRNA from 1 species
GGCAGCACGGGAGCAAUCCUGGUGGCGAGUGGCGAACGGGUGAGUAAUACAUCGGAACGUGCCCAGUAGUGGGGGAUAGCCCGGCGAAAGCCGGAUUAAUACCGCAUACGACCUACGGGUGAAAGCGGGGGAUCGCAAGACCUCGCGCUAUUGGAGCGGCCGAUGUCAGAUUAGGUUGUUGGUGGGGUAAAGGCCUACCAAGCCGACGAUCUGUAGCUGGUCUGAGAGGACGACCAGCCACACUGGGACUGAGACACGGCCCAGACUCCUACGGGAGGCAGCAGUGGGGAAUUUUGGACAAUGGGGGCAACCCUGAUCCAGCCAUGCCGCGUGCGGGAAGAAGGCCUUCGGGUUGUAAACCGCUUUUGUCAGGGAAGAAACGCUCCGGGCUAAUACCUCGGAGUAAUGACGGUACCUGAAGAAUAAGCACCGGCUAACUACGUGCCAGCAGCCGCGGUAAUACGUAGGGUGCAAGCGUUAAUCGGAAUUACUGGGCGUAAAGCGUGCGCAGGCGGUUAUGCAAGACAGAUGUGAAAUCCCCGGGCUCAACCUGGGAACUGCAUUUGUGACUGCAUGGCUUGAGUGCGGCAGAGGGAGAUGGAAUUCCGCGUGUAGCAGUGAAAUGCGUAGAUAUGCGGAGGAACACCGAUGGCGAAGGCAAUCUCCUGGGCCUGCACUGACGCUCAUGCACGAAAGCGU